UACGAAGGGGGCUAGCGUUGCUCGGCAUCACUGGGCGUAACGCGCACGUAGGCGGAUCUUUAAGUCAGGGGUGCAAUCCUGGAGCUCAACUCCAGAACUGCCUUUGAUACUGGGGAUCUCGAGUCCGGAAGAGGUGAGUGGAACUCCGAGUGUAGAGGUGAAAGUCGUAGAUAUGCGGAAGAACACCAGUGGCGAAGGCGGCUCACUGGUCCGGUACUGACGCUGAGGUGCGAAAGCGUGGGGAGCAAACAGG
rnacentral:rRNA from 1 species